CUGGAGAGUGAUGUGGGAAUCCUUCGUGAAAAUGCGGAAUGCUGUCCCAAAGUUGGACAAAUUACUGAAAGAGAUACAGGAACAUGGUACCGUUCCUUAUGAUCGAGUAAAACUCGCCCAUGAUUUAACCGCUGUUCCCAGUUUACUAAAAGGGGGGAAAUUA